ACGCUGGCGGCGUGCUUAACACAUGCAAGUCGAGCGGAAAGGCCCGUUUCGGGGGUACUCGAGCGGCGAACGGGUGAGUAACACGUGAGUAAUCUGCCCUUGGCUUUGGGAUAACCACCGGAAACGGUGGCUAAUACCGGAUAUGACGGGCUCCGGCACCGGGGUUCGUGGAAAAGUUUUUUUCGGCCAGGGAUGUGCUCGCGGCCUAUCAGCUUGUUGGUGGGGUAAUGGCCUACCAAGGCUUCGACGGGUAGCCGGCCUGAGAGGGUGACCGGCCACACUGGGACUGAGACACGGCCCAGACUCCUACGGGAGGCAGCAGUGGGGAAUAUUGGACAAUGGGCGGAAGCCUGAUCCAGCAACGCCGCGUGAGGGAUGACGGCCUUCGGGUUGUAAACCUCCUUCAGUACCGACGAAGCGCCGAUGAUGGUGGUGACGGUAGGUACAGAAGAAGCACCGGCCAACUACGUG
rnacentral:rRNA from 1 species